AUGAACGCUGGCGGCGUGCCUAAUACAUGCAAGUCGAGCGAACAGACGAGGAGCUUGCUCCUCUGACGUUAGCGGCGGACGGGUGAGUAACACGUGGAUAACCUACCUAUAAGACUGGGAUAACUUCGGGAAACCGGAGCUAAUACCGGAUAAUAUAUUGAACCGCAUGGUUCAAUAGUGAAAGACGGUUUUGCUGUCACUUAUAGAUGGAUCCGCGCCGCAUUAGCUAGUUGGUAAGGUAACGGCUUACCAAGGCAACGAUGCGUAGCCGACCUGAGAGGGUGAUCGGCCACACUGGAACUGAGACACGGUCCAGACUCCUACGGGAGGCAGCAGUAGGGAAUCUUCCGCAAUGGGCGAAAGCCUGACGGAGCAACGCCGCGUGAGUGAUGAAGGUCUUCGGAUCGUAAAACUCUGUUAUUAGGGAAGAACAAAUAUGUAAGUAACUAUGCACGUCUUGACGGUACCUAAUCAGAAAGCCACGGCUAACUACGU
rnacentral:rRNA from 1 species